GGCGCCCUAGUGGUUAAAGCAUCUGCCUCAGAUGCGGGAGGUCGUGGGUUCGAGCCACGGCUGAGUCA